rnacentral:rRNA from 1 species
UACGUAGGGUGCAAGCGUUGUCCGGAUUUAUUGGGCGUAAAGAGCGUGUAGGCGGCCAGGUAGGUCUGCUGUGAAAACUCGAGGCUUAACCUCGAGAUGUCGGCGGAAACCAUCUGGCUAGAGUCCGGAAGAGGAGAAUGGAAUCCCGGUGUAGCGGUGAAAUGCGCAGAUAUCGGGAAGAACACCCGUGGCGAAGGCGGUUCUCUGGGACGGUACUGACGCUGAGACGCGAAAGCGUGGGGAGCGAACAGG